GGGGAAUAUUGCACAAUGGAGGGAACUCUGAUGCAGCGACGCCGCGUGAGUGAUGAAGGCUUUCGAGUCGUAAAACUCUGUCCUUGGGGACGAUAAUGACGGUACCCAAGGAGGAAGCCCCGGCUAACUCCGUGCCAGCAGCCGCGGUAAUACGUAGGGGGCGAGCGUUGUCCGGAAUUAUUGGGCGUAAAGGGUUCGCAGGCGGCCGAUUAAGUCAGAUGUGAAAUCCCACGGCUUAACCGUGGUAAGCAUUUGAAACUGAUUGGCUUGAGUGCAUCAGAGGAGAGCGGAAUUCCUAGUGUAGCGGUGACAUGCGUAGAUAUUAGGAGGAACACCCGUGGCGAAGGCGGCUCUCUGGGGUGCAACUGACGCUGAGGCGCGAAAGCUGGGGGAGCGAACG
rnacentral:rRNA from 2 species